AAACGGGUACAGGAACCGCGGGUCGGGGCGGGUAAUUAAGGUUCGGGGCGGGUACGGGCCGGUUCCAAUUAUUUAAUAGGGGAAACGGGGCGGGCCGGGCCGGGCCCUUGAUAUUUUAGGGGCGGGCCGGUUCCAAAUGUAUAGAAAAACGAGGCCCCGGACCGACCCGUUUUUAGACCAAAUGGACGGACGAGAUUGAAAAGGAACAUAACGUCCAAUCUUCACCGUUGAUUUUACCCUAGUCCACUCUCUUUCUCUCCUCUCUGAUCGACUUCGACUCCUCUGAAUCUGUCUUCUUCGGUUCUUCCGCUCUUCCGCAGCUCCGCUGUUCCGUCUUCGACCCUCUCCGUCUCUCGCCGUCAUGCUCUGCCGUCUGUGACUCAAGUCACUCAACUGUCUCUCCUCUCUGAUCGAGUAUUCUUCGAUUCUUCUCCUCGACGACAUCGGACAUCCUACCCAGACUUAGAGAACCCAGGCACCCGCGGUCCCAUACCACCCAUCUUCUCGUUCUCCUUCUUUCGUCCCCAACGACAUUACCGCCGUCGCGAUCACGAACACUCCAUCGCCGCCGCCAGUUCAGGUGGCUCGGGCUUCCGUAUUCUCCUUUCCUUUGGACUCGUAUACGGAAGCAUCUUCUCAACUGCUCAAGUAUCUCCAGACUCCAGGUAGUCCGAGAGCAGAGAGGGAUGCAGUCCGAGACGGAGCAGGUGCCACCAGAGUCGGA